GGACCUGUGGCGCAGCGGUAGCGUUUCUGAUUCCAGUUAUCUCAUUGCAGCUAGAUUCCAGAAGGUCAUCCGUUCGAAUCGGGUCGGGUUCA